UACGGAGGGUGCGAGCGUUGUCCGGAAUCACUGGGCGUAAAGGGCGCGUAGGCGGCUUGGGAAGUCUGUGGUGAAAGCUCGUGGCUCAACUGCGAGUCGGCCAUAGAUACUCCUAAGCUCGAGUCGACUAGAGGCAGAUGGAAUUCCGGGUGUAGCGGUGGAAUGCGUAGAGAUCCGGAAGAACACCGGUGGCGAAGGCGGCGACCUGGUCCAUUACUGACGCUGAGGCGCGACAGCGUGGGGAGCAAACAGG
rnacentral:rRNA from 1 species